GUAUUGUUUUUAAAAGCUGAGUAAUCUCAAUGUUUACAUGCACAUAAUAUUGUCUUUAUCUCUUUGCUCAUAGAUGGCCAUUUAAGUUAUUUCUACAUCUUAGGUCUUCUGAAAGGCAUUGUAAUGAACAUAGAGUAAAGUCAGCUUUGGGAAGAAGGUGGAACUGUUAAUGCAGAAGAACCAUGGCACUGUGUGGCUGUAUUUUGUUAGUUUCCUUUAGAAGCCCUGUGAUGUUUCUCAGUGUGCAUUCCCACUAAGGUACACAAAGGCUCCAGUCACUUGAGCUCCAACCAAUGUCUGUUAUAUGUUUUACCUGUUUAGUAGCAGGAGAACCAAUUAACACCUGUAAUCACUUUUGUUGUAUGCAUGUGCUUAAAUCAAAGAUUAUCGUCGGCUCUACAGAUCUUUCAGUCUAGAUUGGAAUUGAAGGAAUAAAAGGAAGAGGAGGAGGAGGAAGAGGAAGAGGAAGAGGAAGAGGAAGAGGAGGAGAACAAGACAUGGAUCGAUAAAGCAGACAAGCAAGCUUAUCCAUACUGAGGGACUGAGUCCACAGAGGACAGAAUUGUCUGCAGCCUUGGAUCUGCUCCAUUACCCGAAGAACAGGGCUGAGAUGUCAAAGGGAAUCCUAACAAUUUCUAGAGUUCUAGUCUGUGACUGAAGAUGAAGCCCCAGUGUGAAGGGUUAAUGACCUAAAGCAUCCGGUAGACCGAGAGGCUCCCGAAGGAAAUCUGACUUGACUGAUAGCACCUGUGGAAGCAUCUAAUGAGGAGAUCCACGUGCCAAACCUGCUUGUAUCUACCACUUCCCGAUUGCAGUGGAAUAGACCUGCAGAUGGACUUUUCCCUCACUAAUUUUCUACCUUUUCUGUCCUAUGUGACUCCAAGCCUCCUAUGUACCACAGUCUCCGAUAGCAAUGAAGCCCUUCGGUUCUGAUUAACGGCACAGUUUUCCUUCUGGAGAUGCCCGUUAGCUUUCCUUCAAUUCUAUAUCAUCUCCAUCAAUACUGAUCUGACACAAUGCAUAUUUCUUAUUGUACCAGAGGAUCAUAGAAAUAGAAAGGAAACGGUGUAUCUGAAUUAUUAGGCUCUCUGACCUAUAGCCCAGUUACAACAGCAGUACAAAGUAGGGCCAGGGAUUUGUCAUCAAUUCAGUCUUCUCUCCUUAUUAGUAUAGCUAAGGUAUUACACAGUUCCAGAAGACUGUGAAUUUAUAGGAGAAAUAUCAAAACACCUGUGGUGGUUUGAAUAUUGUGGCCCUCACAGACUGAUGUGUUUGAAUGCUUGAC